AAUCUCAACCAUUAGGGUUUCUUAAUGGCUUGGAAUUGGGCGCUGCCACUUGCCUGGCUCGCCUUAAAAGAGUUAGCGUGUUAAACUUGUCGUAAACUGGCGUAAUAAGUUUCGCUGGUGGUAGACUUGUGAAGGACGCUUCUAAUCGUCUUCGGACACUUCUUGAA
rnacentral:misc_RNA from 2 species